rnacentral:lncRNA from 1 species
UGAAUUGUAAGUGUGUUAGUAAUGUAAGUUGAAGUUGUUGAACUGAAGGUUCAAGGUGGUCUGAGUGCAGAAGGGUCGUGCCCUUUUUAUAAAGUAAGAAAGGGUAAGAAAAUAGUUUGCAAUCAAUCACAUAAAAUCCUCCUUCAGUUAAGGGAUUUUGAUUUCAAAUGGGUAGAAGAUAAUUAAGGAAAGAAAUUUGAUUAAUAUCUUUUCCAAAGUAACAAAAAGAGUAAAUACAUAGGAGUUUAUUUAAGGGAAAGUCCAGUAGUACACAGUUUGUGACAAAUAAGGAAAGGUAAUCAAUCAAACAGUCAGUAGAAUCCAAAAUUACAGGCUUUGUCUGAAUGAACCAAGUCAGGAAAAGAAAGCAAGGGGUAACUUAAGGAAAAUCAAUAACAAUCAAUCAAACCUUACUAAAGAAUUCAAAAUCAAUCAAUAAUUGGCAAGACCUUUUUUGAAAGAAGAACUUCUCAUAUAUAAAGCACACAAAUAUCAAAAAGUGGGAGUUGUCAUGUUGGUUAGAAAAGAGUGUCAUAGAAACAAUUAUAAAAAGGUUCAGGUCCAAUCUAUAGACUCAAAAUGAGUCUGAGAGUUUGGGGUUUCAAAAUAGGAUCCUAGUCCAAACACAAAGUCGAACCUACUAAAGAAACCCCUCAAAUUCUAGGGUUUCAACUCGAAUCAAAUACAGAGAUGAGAGGACAAACUAUUGAAACAUACUAAGAGGUCUCUUUUAGAGAUUUGUGAGAAACCAACAAAUAUGAUAGCAGGUUCGAAACAACAAAGAAAGAAGGCUGAUUUAAGAGCAUAAAAGAGCAUGUUUUAAAAAAGUCGAAACUUAAGAAAGUUCAGAAGAAAAGAGGUGGUGUAAACUUAAGCAGUAGUAGAUGAAACAUGAUUAGAAAAAUUCGGACAAAGUCCAGUAAAGCAAACAAAAAUUAAAGAACUUAGCAAGAAACACAUAUGGUAGAAAUCAUGUAGGAAAACAUAGCAGAGAUAAUCAUGCGAGCCUGGUCUAGAGGCACAGUAAAAUACAGAUGUAUAGAAAAAUCAUGUAUAAUAGAAAGAAAAAC